UACGAAGGGUGCAAGCGUUACUCGGAAUUACUGGGCGUAAAGCGUGCGUAGGUGGUUCGUUAGGUCUGAUGUGAAAGCCCUGGGCUCAACCUGGGAAUGGCAUUGGAUACUGGCGACCUAGAGUGCGGUAGAGGGUAGCGGAAUUCCCGGUGUAGCAGUGAAAUGCGUAGAUAUCGGGAGGAACAUCCGUGGCGAAGGCGGCUACCUGGACCAGCACUGACACUGAGGCACGAAAGCGUGGGGAGCAAACAGG
rnacentral:rRNA from 1 species